rnacentral:rRNA from 1 species
UACGUAGGGAGCGAGCGUUGUCCGGAAUUACUGGGCGUAAAGGGUGCGUAGGCGGCAGGCCAAGUCAGAUGUGAAAUACCCGGGCUUAACUCGGGGGGUGCAUUUGAAACUGGUUUGCUUGAGUGCAGGAGAGGAAAGCGGAAUUCCUAGUGUAGCGGUGAAAUGCGUAGAUAUUAGGAGGAACACCAGUUGCGAAGGCGGCUUUCUGGACUGUAACUGACGCUGAGGCACGAAAGCGUGGGGAGCAAACAGGAUUAGAUACCCCGGUAGUCCCUGAG